GACGAACGCUGGCGGCGUGCCUAAUACAUGCAAGUAGAACGCACAGUUUAUACCGUAGCUUGCUACACCAUAAACUGUGAGUUGCGAACGGGUGAGUAACGCGUAGGUAACCUGCCUGGUAGCGGGGGAUAACUAUUGGAAACGAUAGCUAAUACCGCAUAAUAUUAAUUAUUGCAUGAUAAUUGAUUGAAAGAUGCAAUUGCAUCACUACCAGAUGGACCUGCGUUGUAUUAGCUAGUAGGUGAGGUAACGGCUCACCUAGGCGACGAUACAUAGCCGACCUGAGAGGGUGAUCGGCCACACUGGGACUGAGACACGGCCCAGACUCCUACGGGAGGCAACAGUAGGGAAUCUUCGGCAAUGGACGAAAGUCUGACCGAGCAACGCCGCGUGAGUGAAGAAGGUUUUCGGAUCGUAAAGCUCUGUUGUAAGAGAAGAACGGGUGUGAGAGUGGAAAGUUCACACUGUGACGGUAUCUUACCAGAAAGAGACGGCUAACUACGUG
rnacentral:rRNA from 1 species